UGGCCCGCUGAUUGAUCAGAUCUGCUCUCUACUGAUUGGUCAGAUCUGGUGUCUACUGCACCGUGUUGCUAUGACGAUCAGUACUACUAAGCAAGGAGAGGCGAGGCCAGUUGCACUGAGCUGCCAGUACUGGUCAUUAACGGCAUGGCACUAAAAUGAAUGUAUUCAUCUGGUGCUGAAAAAAGAAAAAAGAAGAAACUAGAUGAAGAAAAACCCUCAUGGGAUAAAGGAUCAAUUCUGAAAUAUUUUGCAGAUGUGGACCAGGAAGCAGCAGGUCUGUCUUCAGAACCACCGGACCAGGAUGUUUAAGUUUACAAAUGUUUUACAAUUUAAAAUAAAACAUUUUGAGGAACACUG